rnacentral:rRNA from 1 species
AUUGAACGCUGGCGGCAGGCCUAACACAUGCAAGUCGAACGAGUGGCGGACGGGUGAGUAAUGUCUGGGAAACUGCCCGAUGGAGGGGGAUAACUACUGGAAACGGUAGCUAAUACCGCAUACCAUCGGAUGUCACCAGAUGGGAUUAGCUAGGAGGUGGGGUAACGGCUCACCUAGGCGACGCUCCCUAGCUGGUUGGAGAGGAUGACCAGCAACACUGGAACUUAGACACGGUCCAGACUCCUACGGGAGGCAGCAGUGGGGAAUAGUGCACAAUGGGCGCAAGCCUGAUGCAGCCAUGCCGCGUGUAUGAAGAAGGCCGUCGGGUUGUAAAGUACUUUCAGCGAGGAGGCGUUACUCGCAGAAGAAGCACCGGCUAACUCCGUGCCAGCAGCCGCGGUAAUUC